rnacentral:rRNA from 1 species
CGCCUUGCCAGCCCGCUCAGAACUUAAAGGAAUUGACGGGGCCCGCACAAGCGGAGGAGCAUGUGGUUUAAUUCGAUGAUACGCGAGGAACCUUACCUGGGCUCGAACGUAAGAUGACUGUAGGUGAAAGCUUACAUCUCUUCGGAGCAUUUUACGAGGUGCUGCAUGGUUGUCGUCAGCUCGUGCCGUGAGGUGUCGGGUUAAGUCCCAUAACGAGCGCAACCCCUACCUUUAGUUGCCAUCAGGUUAAGCUGGGGACUCUAAAGGAACUGCCUACGCAAGUAGUGAGGAAGGCGGGGAUGACGUCAAAUCAGCACGGCCCUUACGUCCAGGGCUACACACGUGCUACAAUGGCCGAUACAGAGGGCAGCUACCUGGUGACAGGAUGCAAAUCUCCAAAGUCGGUCUCAGUUCGGAUCGGAGUCUGCAACCCGACUCCGUGAAGUUGGAUUCGCUAGUAAUCGCGCAUCAGCCAUGGCGCGGUGAAUACGUUCCGGGCCUU